UCCCUGGAGUCAGCACCUGGAGGAGGAGUGCCCCAAACCUGCUGACCCUCUUUGGUCCAGAGCUGUGGACACUGCUGGUUCUGUGAGUUUGUUUUCCUGGCUCCGGUCUGCCCUGUGCCCUGGAAAUAGGAGGUAAGAAGAGACAGGAAAAGGAGGCCUGGAUGCCUAGAGAUUUUCCACUUCUAGCAAGAACAUUGUCAAGCAAGAGUUCAACCUACCCAUUUCACAGAUGCAGUAACUGAGGUGUUGUGAGGCUGCAGGCCUCGCCUCACAGAGAGUUUGUAAAGACUAGAAGCCCAGCCCAGGUGACCCCCGUGUGAAGCUUUUCCUAUAUUUAUGUACUGUUUCUCUACUAUUUCUUGACCAGCCUAGAGUGAAUCUCACCUCCUCAAAUGAUAUGGUAUGAAUGUUUGUCCCUGCCAAAUCUCAUAUUGAAAUAUGAUUUCCAUUGCCGGAGGUGAGGCCUGGCAGAAAGCGAUUGGAUCAUGGAGGCAGACUCCUCAUGAAUGGAUUAGCACCAUCCUCUUAGUUCAUGUAAGAUCUGGUUGUUUCAAAGAGCCUGGGACGUCCCCCUUCUCUCUCAUGCUCCCACUCUUGCCCCAUGAUGCACCCGCUCCCCUUUGCCUUUCACCAUGAUUUAAGCUUUCUGAGGCCUCACCAGAAGGAGUUGCUGG